CUUUUCAGACUUUUCAAAAUCUCUUGUGGAAAUGUUCGACAAGGUGCGCACCGGUGAACAACGAUGGCGCUCGAAAGGGGCGCUUGAAAAAAUUCUUCUAUGCGUAUGCAAAACGUCACUGUGAUGUAAAUAAACAUGGUGAAGCUGAAUACAGCAUCAACUUUGCCCUGAAAACAUUCAAAGAAUUCUCAAAUGCAUUUGAUUGCAAGAAUUCAGACAAAAUGAAAGGAGUUGACAAUUGUGCCAUUUUCCCUCGGAUGAUCAAUGCAGCAGAAUCUGAAAUAGUCAAUCGCGAAUCUUAGAAUAGAUGCUUCA